AGCGCAGGCGGUUUCUUAAGUCUGAUGUGAAAGCCUUCGGCUCAACCGAAGAAGUGCAUCGGAAACUGGGAAACUUGAGUGCAGAAGAGGACAGUGGAACUCCAUGUGUAGCGGUGGAAUGCGUAGAUAUAUGGAAGAACACCAGUGGCGAAGGCGGCUGUCUGGUCUGUAACUGCGCUGAGGCUCGAAAGCAUGGGUAGCAAAACA
rnacentral:rRNA from 1 species